GCCUCCUUGGCUCAGUUGGCUAGAGCGUUGGUCUCAUAUCGCGUAUAUGAGUAACUUAAUUUAUGUAAUCCAGAGGUCGCAAGUUCGAGCCUUGCAGGGGGUA